CCCUUAGAUGUUCUGGGCGGCCCGCGCACUACAUUGGCACUGGCAACAAGAUCCUAGAUCUGAUAUUUCGGGGUAUUCUACCAACUGGUGUCGUGACUGGGAUUAACCCCUGCAAUUAUUGGUUAUGAACGAGGAAUUCCUUGUAAUCACGGUUUAUCAACCCGUGUUGAAUGCGGCCCUGCCCUUUGUACACACCGCCCGUCGCUCCUACCGAUGAAUCGUCCGGUGAAGUUCAUGGAGUCGCGGCUGCUCCAGCUGUUUUCGAAGUGAAAUGGACCUCAUGAUUUAGAGGAAGGAGAAGUCGUAACA
rnacentral:rRNA from 1 species